CAAGGGAUCAGUAGAGUGGCAAACGGGUGAGUAACACGUGGGUGACCUGCCUUCGAGCGGGGGAUAACGUCCCGAAAGGGACGCUAAUACCGCAUAACAUCCUGCCUUUUAAGAGGUGGAGAUCAAAGCUGGGGAUCGCAAGACCUAGCACUUGAAGAGGGGCCCGCGCCUGAUUAGCUAGUUGGUGGGGUAACGGCUCACCAAGGCUUCGAUCAGUAUCCGGCCUGAGAGGGCGGACGGGCACACUGGGACUGAGACACGGCCCAGACUCCUACGGGAGGCAGCAGUGGGGAAUUGUUCGCAAUGGGCGCAAGCCUGACGACGCAACGCCGCGUGGAGGAUGAAGAUCUUCGGGUCGUAAACUCCUUUCGAUCGAGACGAACGGCCUCCGGGUGAACAAUCCGGAGGAGUGACGGUACCGAGAGAAGAAGCCCCGGCUAACUCCGUGCCAGCAGCCGCGGUAAUACGGGGGGGGCAAGCGUUGUUCGGAAUUACUGGGCGUAAAGGGCUCGUAGGCGGCCAACUAAGUCAGACGUGAAAUCCCUCGGCUUAACCGGGGAACUGCGCCUGAUACUGGAUGGCUUGAGGUUGGGAGAGGGAUGCGGAAUUCCAGGUGUAGCGGUGAAAUGCGUAGAUAUCUGGAGGAACACCGGUGGCGAAGGCGGCAUCCUGGACCAAAUACUGACGCUGAGGAGCGAAAGCCAGGGGAGCAAACGGGAUUAGAUACCCCGGUAGUCCUGGCCCUAAACGAUGAAUGCUUGGUGUGACGGGUAUCGAUCCCUGUCGUGCCGAAGCUAACG
rnacentral:rRNA from 1 species